rnacentral:rRNA from 1 species
CGGAGGAAAAGAAACUAACAAGGAUUCCCCUAGUAGCGGCGAGCGAAGCGGGAAGAGCUCAAAUUUAUAAUCUGGCACCUUCGGUGUCCGAGUUGUAAUCUCUAGAAAUGUUUUCCGCGUUGGACCGCACACAAGUCUGUUGGAAUACAGCGGCAUAGUGGUGAGACCCCCGUAUAUGGUGCGGACGCCCAGCGCUUUGUGAUACAUUUUCGAAGAGUCGAGUUGUUUGGGAAUGCAGCUCAAAUUGGGUGGUAAAUUCCAUCUAAAGCUAAAUAUUGGCGAGAGACCGAUAGCGAACAAGUACCGUGAGGGAAAGAUGAAAAGCACUUUGGAAAGAGAGUUAACAGUACGUGAAAUUGUUGGAAGGGAAACGCUUGAAGUCAGACUUGCUUGCCGAGCAAUCGGUUUGCAGGCCAGCAUCAGUUUUCCGGGAUGGAUAAUGGUAGAGAGAAGGUAGCAGUUUCGGCUGUGUUAUAGCUCUCUGCUGGAUACAUCUUGGGGGACUGAGGAACGCAGUGUGCCUUUGGCGGGGGUUUCGACCUCUUCACACUUAGGAUGCUGGUGGAAUGGCUUUAAACGACCCGUC